UAGGGAAUAUUGGACAAUGGGGGAAACCCUGAUCCAGCCAUGCCGCGUGAGUGAUGAAGGCCUUAGGGUUGUAAAGCUCUUUCGGCGGGGAAGAUAAUGACGGUACCCGCAGAAGAAGCCCCGGCUAACUUCGUGCCAGCAGCCGCGGUAAUACGAAGGGGGCUAGCGUUGCUCGGAAUCACCGGGCGUAAAGCGCACGUAGGCGGCUUUCUAAGUCAGGGGUGAAAUCCUGGAGCUCAACUCCAGAACUGCCUUGGAUACUGGAAAGCUUGAGUUCGGGAGAGGUGAGUGGAACUGCGAGUGUAGAGGUCACAUUCUUAGAUAGUCGCAAGAACACCUGGGGCGAAGGAGGCUCACUGACCCGAUACUCACGCUGAGGUGCGAAAGCGUGGGGAG
rnacentral:rRNA from 1 species